UGAUAUUUGUUACGAGAGAAUACGUUCCAUAGGCCUAGAACAUCCGUUUGGGGUCCAGGAGAAUUGUCCGCACGUAUUCUGUGUUAGGUGCCUCGAGCGGUGGAAUCAAAACGAGGCCAUGGCAAAUCAUGAGGCCUGUCCUGUCUGCCGCACGCCCUCGGGUCUGAUCUUUCACAGUAGGUACUGGAUCCAGUGUCCGAAUUCAAAGAAGAAAAUUAUCAAAUGCAUCAAAGAAGAGAUGGAGGAUGGAACAGCAAGAAUUUCAAAUUAAGUAAUGAGCCAGUCAUCAAAUUCAUCCAAAAUGUCUCAUUUUUUUUGUAAAACCAACAUCUUCAUUGAUUGACGAAUGUUUAUUUAGU
rnacentral:sRNA from 1 species